UACGGAGGAUGCGAGCGUUGUCCGGAAUUACUAGGCGUAAAGGGCAGGCAGGCGGAUCCAUAAGUUUAUCGUUUAAGGCGUCGGCUUAACCGGCGUAGGGCGGUAGAUACUGUGGAUCUGGAAUGCGGUUGGGGAAGACAGAAUUCCUGGUGUAGCGGUGGAAUGCGCAGAGAUCAGGAGGAAUACCGAAGGCGAAGGCAGUCUUCCAAGCCGUUAUUGACGCUCAACUGCGAAGGUGUGGGUAUCAAACAGGAUUAGAUACCCGUGUAGU
rnacentral:rRNA from 1 species